GGGAAUGGGGCCGCUAUUGCUGAUGGAAAGAAUAUCACACAUAGGUACCUUGGAAUCAUACACAGACAUCUUGUCUCUGUUUUUUCCUUCUUCAAAGUUUUACAAGUCCACUUCCUUGACAGGGGAACCAGAACUACAUAUGGUAUUUGAGAUGCAAGAUACAGUGACCU